GAGCCAGUAUCGCCUAGUGGUUGGAGCCCUGGACUAUGACUCUGGAGACCGGGGUUAAAUUCCCCGCUCGAAUA